rnacentral:rRNA from 12 species
UUUAGAACGUCGUGAGACAGUUCGGUCCCUAUCUGGUGUGGGCGUUGGAUGAUUGAGAGGGGCUGCUCCUAGUACGAGAGGACCGGAGUGGACGAACCGCUGGUGUUCGGGUUGUCAUGCCAAUGGCAUUGCCCGGUAGCUACGUUCGGAAUCGAUAACCGCUGAAAGCAUCUAAGCGGGAAGCCCCCUUCAAGACUAGGUAUCCCUAUCAGAUCCCUGGAAGACCACCAGGUUGAUAGGCUGCAUGUGUAAGGGGUGAGAGUCCCUCAGCUA